rnacentral:piRNA from 1 species
UAAUACUGAGAUUUGACUGUAGUGA